rnacentral:rRNA from 1 species
AAAUUGAAGAGUUUGAUCAUGGCUCAGAUUGAACGCUGGCGGCAGGCCUAACACAUGCAAGUCGAACGGUAACAGGAAGAAGCUUGCUUCUUCGCUGACGAGUGGCGGACGGGUGAGUAAUGUCUGGGAAACUGCCUGAUGGAGGGGGAUAACUACUGGAAACGGUAGCUAAUACCGCAUAACGUCGCAAGACCAAAGAGGGGGACCUUCGGGCCUCUUGCCAUCGGAUGUGCCCAGAUGGGAUUAGCUAGUAGGUGGGGUAACGGCUCACCUAGGCGACGAUCCCUAGCUGGUCUGAGAGGAUGACCAGCCACACUGGAACUGAGACACGGUCCAGACUCCUACGGGAGGCAGCAGUGGGGAAUAUUGCACAAUGGGCGCAAGCCUGAUGCAGCCAUGCCGCGUGUAUGAAGAAGGCCUUCGGGUUGUAAAGUACUUUCAGCGGGGAGGAAGGGAGUAAAGUUAAUACCUUUGCUCAUUGACGUUACCCGCAGAAGAAGCACCGGCUAACUCCGUGCCAGCAGCCGCGGUAAUACGGAGGGUGCGAGCGUUAAUCGGAAUUACUGGGCGUAAAGCGCACGCAGGCGGUUUGUUAAGUCAGAUGUGAAAUCCCCGGGCUCAACCUGGGAACUGCAUCUGAUACUGGCAAGCUUG